rnacentral:rRNA from 1 species
AACGAACGCUGGCGGCAUGCCUAACACAUGCAAGUCGAACGAGACCUUCGGGUCUAGUGGCGCACGGGUGCGUAACGCGUGGGAUCUGCCCUUGGGUUCGGAACAACAGUUGGAAACGACUGCUAAUACCGGAUGAUGACUUCGGUCCAAAGAUUUAUCGCCCAAGGAUGAGCCCGCGUAGGAUUAGCUUGUUGGUGAGGUAAAAGCUCACCAAGGCGACGAUCCUUAGCUGGUCUGAGAGGAUGAUCAGCCACACUGGGACUGAGACACGGCCCAGACUCCUACGGGAGGCAGCAGUGGGGAAUAUUGGACAAUGGGCGAAAGCCUGAUCCAGCAAUGCCGCGUGAGUGAUGAAGGCCUUAGGGUUGUAAAGCUCUUUUACCCGGGAUGAUAAUGACAGUACCGGGAGAAUAAGCCCCGGCUAACUCCGUGCCAGCAGCCGCUGUAA